GUCAAGGAUUUUUCUACUUCUCACGCUGACCUCACAACAAGGAGCUGAGUGGGCACAAGAAGCUGGGAGGGGACAUAGCCAGGGCAGCUUUCCUAAACUGGACAAAGAUGUAUCCCAUACUAUGUGGCAUCAUAAUGAAUGAUGGGGAAAAUGAGAAGAGGAGAAAAUAAACUAAACCCUGGCAAUUGCAGGAAUGUGGUGAUGUUCCGGAAGCUUCUCACCCUGUUUUCUCAAGGUACAAUCUGAUUUGCAUCUGGCCAUCUAAGUGGGAUGACUGAGAGCUUAAAGAAUGAUGAAACCUGAAGGAGUCAGUUUCAGUGAUGUUGGUCAUCUGAUGCAGCCACUUCAUUUUGUGCCGUAAAUGAGAAAACAGCUUUUAAUACAGGAGAAAUGACCAGAGAACCCCAGGCCUAGUCACUGCCCUUCUGAGAUUUCAUCAGAUAAGCCUCCACAAACUGCUUUGAUUUUGACAAACAAUAUAAUAGUGUGAAAUUGUUAAGAUAUUCUGACUUUCUCAGCUUGAUGCUUUCAGCAGUGCAGCUCUUCAGAAUGCACAACUCACAUGCAAUUAUCAUUAGCUAAAUGCCCUUUUCAGUCUCCUGAGGUGAAAGACAUCAUAAAGCUAUGAACGAAGAUGCAGAAAAGGAUAUGGAGAAGUAAGAUUAAAGUUUGUCUCCUUGCAAAGACUCUCAUGCUACAAAACUGCAAAUUUGUGGAAGGGAUAAAAAUUUUUGACCCUUCCCUCAGCACUUGUUUAACAUAAGUUAAUAUAAAUAAUGCAAAUAUUCUUGGGAAUGCCAACAAUCAGUAGCUGAAAGGCAGUUUUUGCUCAUCACAGCUUGUGGCUGUUGUCCAUUGAGAAUUAGAAAGCUUAAGAAUCAGCUUUCAGAAAGAAGAGAAACUUGAGAUUAACCUUUGAAAGAAAGGGAGGAUUAAUUAUUUUGUAUGCUUCUUUUCUAUCAUGGGGUAGAUAGGAAAGAAAAUUACAUAGACUUUGCAGACUCCAAUGUGUACACUGAAAAGAAUCAAUCCUGAAUUAUGACCUGAACUGUAGGAGUCCUGAAAGCCUGACAAUGGAUCUAUUUGGAAAAAUAUCUGGAAAAAUUGCCUCAUUGAAAAACUGAGAAAACAAGCCUUGACUUUGUCUUCAAACACCAAAGCAUAUUCACAUAAAGGGAGAAAAAAAAAUCAGAUUUUUUUUUUCAUAAAAUAUGUAUUUUUAAAUUUUAACAAAAAAUAACAAGAAUACCCAACACAGCACCAGACUGCACUCAUCUCUGAGACUGACAUUCUAGUAAGAGGAGGAGAUGUCAUUGGAGAAUUACCAGGAACAAAGUCAUCUAUAUUUGUACAAAGGGGAAUAAAGAGAGUUUAUUUUAUUUUCUCUCAGAUUUAUAGAUAUGUCCCCGUCCCCCCCCCC
ensembl:lncRNA